rnacentral:rRNA from 1 species
UACGGAGGAUCCGAGCGUUAUCCGGAUUUAUUGGGCUUAAAGGGUGCGUAGGCGGCCUAUUAAGUCAGGGGUGAAAGACGGUAGCUUAACUAUCGCAGUGCCUUUGAUACUGAUAGGCUUGAAUGUACUUGAGGUAGGCGGAAUGUGACAAGUAGCGGUGAAAUGCAUAGAUAUGUCGCAGAACACCAAUUGCGAAGGCAGCUUACUAAAGUAUGAUUGACGCUGAGGCACGAAAGCGUGGGGAUCAAACAGG